GGGUUUGUAGCUCAGUGGAUUAGAGUUCAUGCUUCCGAAGCAUAAAGUCAAGGGUUCGAGUCCCUUCUAACCCA
rnacentral:tRNA from 1 species